rfam:Ictidomys tridecemlineatus contig017982, whole genome shotgun sequence.
UGGACUGGGGCUCAGCGGUAGAGCGCUUGCCUGGCAUGUGUGAGGCCCUGGGUUCGAUUCUCAGCGCCCCAU